AAGGGUUUAGUUCACUGGUAGAGUGUGUGCCUAUCAUGCAUGAGGUCCUGGGUUCAAUUCCCAGUACCUCCA
rnacentral:tRNA from 1 species